ACAUGUGAGUGAACAGCUACCAUGACAGGAAGACUUUUCUUGUCAACACAAUCACGGUGGCUCUGUGAACACCCGAGUUAUGUGCUAUUUUCCCCUGGAGGGAAAUUGGUACCUGAUAAGUAAAGACUUCAUUCAGUGAAAUCAAAAUAUAUUUAUUAAGUGUCUACCCUUGACAGACACCGCAAUUACCCAGAGAUUGACAGGGGAGCCCCCAUCCCGCCUCUCCUAGGUCUUUCAUUCCCUGAGAGAAACAGGGGAGAAAAGCAGUAAGCAGAAAUCACAGCCAUAAGUAAGAUAAUUUCCAAGAGUGGUGUGUGGUAUGAAUAAUGCAAACAAUCAACGGGGCAAGAAGGUAGUCACUGGCAGGCGUUGAACAAGACAGCGGAGCUCUGAUGAGGAGCCAGCCGCAGCGACGAGACUUGAAGGAUACGACGGAGCAGAAUGCGAACACCAAGGAAGUGAGCAUCCCAAGACUGUGAUCCUGGGAUAAUUUGGCAUCAACAUUUCCUCGGAAUGAACUUAAGAGACGAAGCUGAGAGAGGCACAGGACAAUCAGUCUCAUACAAGCGUCUUGUCUUUGUCACUCCACAGGGCUCCUGCAGUGAGCUCUAAGUCCCAAGAUACCAUGCAACAUUCAAGAAGGAGCCAUCUACCUUGAGAAUAUAGUCUCAGAUUGCCUCACUAGAGGAAAACAAACAAUUUGAAGAAAUCAAGGAUGCUCUUAUGCCACAAUCAAAAUAAACUAAUCUAAAAUUGGUUAAGGAAACAGCCUAAAGGAUGAAAAAGAUGCAUCUCUCAGCUGGAAAGAUGAUCAGGGAUUUCUAGACUUAUUAACACCAUAUGAAAUAAAUUAGCAUCUCGUCCUUUCCAAAGUGAGAACACCAAAAUGGAUAUCAUAUUGCUCAAAGUGUCCUCAAACUCCUGGAUACAAGGGAAUCCUCUUACCUCAGCCUCUGGAGUAGCUGGGAAUAUAGGUACAGUUCUCUAGAGAAACAGAACCAGAAAGACAUAGACAGAGAAAGAAAGAAAAAUACAUUUAUUAUGGAGGCUGAAAAGUCCCACACUCUGCAUUUGGCAAGUUGGAGACCCAGGUGAGCCAAUGUGUAUCAGUUCCAGUCACAAAACAGAAAAUAACCGAUGUACCAGUUUUUUGUCAGUCAGGUAAGAGAAAUUCCUUUUUGUUUGUCAGAGGGUCAGACUUUUGUCCUAUCUGGACUUUUAACUGAUUGGAUGAGGCCCACUCACAUUGGGAAGGAUAGCCUGCUUUACUCCAUCUACUCGUUUAAAUGUAAAUAUCAUCCAUGAGUACAUGCCUGUAAUCCAAGCUCCU